UAGGGCCUACUGCCUCGGUUAGGGCUGAGCCACCUAGGUUCCCACGCAGGAGUCUCCGCAGCAGCAGACACAGGCACAGGGUGGCACUCUUCUCUCCUCAGUUAGCCAGACUGAGUCCGUAGUGUAAAGCCGGGUCAGCAGUCCUUGCGCUGACCGAGGUGGAGGCACUUUCUGUUGCUGCAGCUGGAGGUUGUAUCGACCCUGGGGAAGAUGUCUUCAUUGCUUCUGUGGUACUGGGGAUGGAACGCAGGGCCCAUUUCUAUGUUAGGCGAGUGCUCUACCACUGAGGUACAACCUUAGCCCUCUUUAUAAAACAUUUUUACAUUUUGAGACCUGGUCUUAUGAUGUUGCCGUAGGCUGGCCUUGAAUUUGCUCAGUGGCUGAGCCUGAUCUUCUGUUUAAUACUCCUGUCACCCAAGUAACUAGGAUUACUGGCCAGGCUGCUUGAAGAUCUUUUAGGGAAGGGGUUUGGGGAACAGGGUCUCGUGUGUCAGACUAGCCUCAAAGGUGCUAGGAUUAUAGGUCUCUGUCACCAUGCCCAGCUAAGGAUGUAGUCUUAAGACUUUCAGACAUAAUUAUACCAGCAUGAGCUUCUUCAAAAUUUAUGUGCAAGAUGUUACUAUGGGAUUUUGUUGGUGUGCCUAUACUGAAAUAGCCAGUAGUAAGAUGACUGACUCAAAGGUCUUAAGGAAGUAUUUCACUUCCCCAGUAAGAGACUUCAUGCAGAAGUUACAGUUGUGUUCCUUUGAGAUUCUUAUUGAAAAAGGGUCUUUGUUUAGCCCAGGCUGGCCUCAUACUUGCAGUCCUCCUGCCUCAGCCUCCCUGAUGUGUAGAUUACAUGGGUGCGUCAUUAUGUCCAAUGCCUGGGAGAAUAAUCAUAACGCCCACCUCUGCAGUCUGAGAAGCCGUCCUGUCAGCUGUGAGGGAUGCAGGAAUGAACACUCAGCUAUCCAGGUCCAGUUACUCUUUCCUUUCUAGUAUGCUAGGACACCUUCAGGUGGACUCUUCAGCUUGCUUUAGCCUACAUGCUGGGUGUCUUCAGUAUGUUCUACACCUGUUUCCUGUUUCUGCCAUUAGUGAGAUCUGGUUUCAGCACACAGUUGUUCUUUCUCUUCUUUAUUGUUUUUGUUUGUUUGUUUGUUUGUUUGUUUUUCAAGACAGGGUUUCUCUGUAGCCCUGGCUGUCCUGGAACUCACUCUGCAGACCAGGCUGGCCUCAAACUCAGAAAUCCACCUGCCUCUGUCUCCCGAGUGCUGGGAUUAAAGGCGUGCACCACCAGGCCUGUCGUUCUUUUUCUUCUUGUAAUUACAUGUAAACCUCUGUUUAGCACAAUCUUUUGAUGUUUGCAGUAAUGCUUUACUGUCACUGGCUUGGCACUGAAUUUUGAUACCCAUAAAGUACUGGCAGACUUUAUGUCACUGGGAUGAAUGUAAGCCUUGCACAAACUUAGAGCUAUUCAUAUAUGAUGAGCCUUUAGCAAGCUGCCCGGUCCUCAUGGGCAAACUUACCCGGCUGUAGUUGCUUUUUUCCAGUAGUAGUUCCUUUUGUUAAACCUCUAGCAAUCAAUAAAGAUUUAAUUCAUCUUUUAGUUUUCUUAAGAAUUAUGGAGACUUAACUUUCAGUUGGCCUCUCAAGGAAGAGAAAAGAAGUUGCUGCCAAUAACUUCACAGCACACUUUUGGCUUUGCACUGUAUUCUGUUUACCAUUGAAUAUGAAUAAAUGGUCAUCGUGAGCUUAUGGUUGGAAUAUACCAGUGCAGAGCUAACUAGGGACACAGCCAGUACUUGUCUAGUGUGACUUGUCCCUUUCCUCUGCAGUUGGGGCUCACUGCUUCUUCCCUGCCUUAGGAGCCAUUGGGGGUCUGAGUGGGUCAGAGACAGUGAGUGAAUAAUGUCAAUGAAAUACACUGAUGUAUCUGCUGUGCUUCAUUAUGUUAAGAGACCAAGGUAAUCAACAAUUAUAAAGUACAUCAUUUUGCUAUGUGCUAGGUAGGCUCUGCCUCCUGGCCAGUAGAUGUCUAAGAUCUGGGGAAUAGCAUCCAAGAAAUGCUAUUGUAUUUGGGGAUUACAAAAGCAGACCUAGACAAGUUGUUCACUUGAAUGAUACCUGUUGGUCAGAUUUUAUUAAAAGAUUAUGAUCAUGUAAAAUUAGUCAGUACUCAGCCCUUCUAGCAAAAUAUUUUUUUGAAAAAUAAACUAAAUACCUUU
rnacentral:lncRNA from 1 species